rnacentral:rRNA from 1 species
GAUGAACGCUAGCGGGAGGCCUAACACAUGCAAGCCGAGCGGUAUGGAUAGCUUGCUAUCCAGAGAGCGGCGUACGGGUGCGUAACACGUGUGCAACCUACCUUUAUCUGGGGGAUAGCCUUUCGAAAGGAAGAUUAAUACCCCAUAAUAUAAUGAUUGGCAUCAAUUAUUAUUGAAAACUCCGGUGGAUAGAGAUGGGCACGCGCAAGAUUAGAGAGUUGGUGAGGUAACGGCUCACCAAGUCAAUGAUCUUUAGGCGUCGUGAGAGGGAGAUCCCCCACACGGGUACUGGGACACGGACCAGGCUCCUACGGGACGCAGCAGUGAGGUAUAUGGGACAGUGGGUGAGAGCCUGAUCCAGCCAUCCCGCGUGAAGGACGGCGGUCCUAUGGAUAUUAUACUUCUUUUGGACAGGGAUAAACCUACCCUCGGGAGGGUAGCUGACGGUACUGUACGAAUAAGCACCGGCUAACUCCGUG